UACGAAGGGUGCAAGCGUUACUCGGAAUUACUGGGCGUAAAGCGUGCGUAGGCGGUUUGUUAAGUCCGUUGUGAAAGCCCUGGGCUCAACCUGGGAAUUGCAGUGGAUACUGGCGAGCUAGAGUGCGGUAGAGGAUGGUGGAAUUCCCGGUGUAGCGGUGAAAUGCGUAGAGAUCGGGAGGAACACCCGUGGCGAAGGCGGCCAUCUGGACCAGCACUGACGCUGAGGCACGAAAGCGUGGGGAGCGAACGGG
rnacentral:rRNA from 1 species